rnacentral:rRNA from 1 species
CCUACGGGAGGCAGCAGUGGGGGAUAUUGGACAAUGGGGGGAACCCUGAUCCAGCGACGCCGCGUGAGUGAAGAAGUAUUUCGGUAUGUAAAGCUCUGUCAGCAGGGAAGAAAGAAAUGACGGUACCUGACCAAGAAGCCCCGGCUAACUACGUGCCAGCAGCCGCGGUAAUACGGAGGGGGCAAGCGUUAUCCGGAAUUACUGGGUGUAAAGGGAGCGUAGACGGUUAAGUAAGUCUGGAGUGAAAGGCCGGGGCCCAACCCCGGGACUGCUCUGGAAACUAUUGUACUUGAGUGCAGGAGAGGUAAGCGGAAUGCCUAGUGUAGCGGUGAAAUGCGGAGAUAUUAGGAGGAACACCAGUGGCGAAGGCGGCUUACUGGACUGUAACUGACGUUGAGGCUCGAAAGCGUGGGGAGCAAAUGGGAUUAGAUACCCGAGUAGUC